AGAGUUUGAUCAUGGCUCAGGAUGAACGCUAGCUACAGGCCUAACACAUGCAAGUCGCGGGGCAGCAUGAAUUUAGCUUGCUAAAUUUGAUGGCGACCGGCGCACGGGUGAGUAACGCGUAUCCAACCUUCCCCUGUCCACGGGAUAGCCCGUCGAAAGGCGGAUUAAUACCGUAUGAGGUCACACGAUGGCAUCAGACUGUGACGAAAGGUUUGGCGGACAGGGAUGGGGAUGCGUCCGAUUAGCUUGUUGGCGGGGUAACGGCCCACCAAGGCAACGAUCGGUAGGGGUUCUGAGAGGAAGGUCCCCCACAUUGGAACUGAGACACGGUCCAAACUCCUACGGGAGGCAGCAGUGAGGAAUAUUGGUCAAUGGGCGAGAGCCUGAACCAGCCAAGUAGCGUGCAGGACGACGGCCCUAUGGGUUGUAAACUGCUUUUAUGCGGGGAUAACGUGCACCACGUGUGGUGUAUUGCAGGUACCGCAUGAAUAAGGACCGGCUAAUUCCGUGCCAGCAGCCGCGGUAAUACGGAAGGUCCGGGCGUUAUCCGGAUUUAUUGGGUUUAAAGGGAGCGUAGGCCGCUGUUUAAGUGUGUUGUGAAAAACCGGGGCUCAACUCCGGUCGUGCAGCGCGAACUGGACGGCUUGAGUGCGCGGUAAGUGGGCGGAAUUUGUGGUGUAGCGGUGAAAUGCUUAGAUAUCACGAAGAACUCCGAUUGCGAAGGCAGCUCACUGUAGCGCAACUGACGCUGAAGCUCGAAAGUGCGGGUAUCGAACAGGAUUAGAUACCCUGGUAGUCCGCACGGUAAACGAUGGAUGCCCGCUGUUCCGGCUAAUAGUUGGAGUGGCCAAGCGAAAGCGUUAAGCA
rnacentral:rRNA from 1 species